CUUAUUUGUGCAUUUUCAUAUUCUGUUGUGUUUUCUUGCUGGUUUUAAUUGCUGGUUUUAAUGGCUGGAGCGUUGAAUCCCCUUCUCUCUGUCUUUGCCUUCUCCACUCUCCUCGUCGUUUCCUUCAUCUGGAUAUUCUCAGCUGGAACUAAUAACAGUAGAUUGGAAACUCUUUGUGGUGGAAGGGAUACAUGGAGGAUUAAAGUAAGAGCCGUUCGAGUAUGGGAGAUGUGCCCAGUUUCUGAACCAUCAAAACCAUAUGCAAUGAGUUUGCAGUAGAAAGAGUGCAACCAAGCAUAUGACAAGAUAAACUGUCUACCCUUUUAAUUUUCAGCACUGUGGCUUAUACCAGUUUUAUCAUUUUUUUUUCAAUUUGAAAGUAUUGAAGGUGUUUCAUUCAAGAUUACAUUUUUGUUCACUAGAAACUACGAGACAGGACUGUCACCUUUUGCAGUAAUAUGUGCUGUAUUUGAAUUUGAAAUCUAUUAUCACAUAUGCAUAAAUAGGGGUGUGUUUCAGUUGCUGCUUGCAUUCAUCUCAGUAUCUGGGUUUUGUUGUAGUGUUUCAAGCUUUCUGUUUUGAUCUGCAUCAAUGGGUGAUAAUUCUGGACAGGUGAACCCAGGAGUUUAUGUCCAGGCUAGGAACAGGAGAAACAUCAGAUUGAACCGAAAAAUUUGCAAAAGCUGAAGUAGUUCAAACCCACCAUGGAUGAGAAGAUGGGAAUCAGAUGCAGUUACCUUUUUAGACUUGAUGAUGGUAACAUGGGUGUGAAAAUUGAGGCUUCCAUCAAGAAAAAUCACAUUAGUAAAUACGUAAGUGACUUGGCUGAAAAUUGAUUUGGAUCUCUUUUUUCCUUGCUGCAUUUUCACAUGCUGAAAUACAUGGGAGUACAGGAAAAUAACGAGAGAAGGUAUUCUCUUCAAUGUGUUUAUUUAGUUGGAAUUACCUAUAAAUAUUGCAAGAAUUGUUUUGUUAAUUCUCAUUCCAUCUUGCAUUGCCCUAGAAAUUCAUCAUUCCUAUCUCUCAUAUUCCAUCCUUUCAUUUGUUUGCCAUAAUUUAUAUGAUUUAUUAGAACUGAAACAAAAUCAAUGGCAUCAAGGGGGUUGGGAUUGGUGGGUCUAGCUUGCUUAAUCCCCCCCCCCCUUUUGGCUGCUAUAUUUGAUGCAGUUGCCAGUAUUGGCUAGGAGUUUUAUUUUUCCUUUCUUAGGUGUGUGUUUCUCUGGCCUCUUGAAGGAGAACACAUGUACAAUAAAUAGGUAAUAUGUAGUGUGGUAUAUGUAUGUAAAACUAUAAAGAGCUAUGAUAUAUCUAGGUCCUUGAUGAUCCUAAUUAUUUACCAGUCAUUUUCAUGAGUAGUGUGUCAUUGAAUAAUAUACAAAUAAAGGACUGCUAUUUCUCACAGUUGAACUCUAUAUAUCUUGAAAAUUCAAUUGCAGAAUAAAUUACACAUAUAUUAUAUUUUUGAAUUUGAAUUUAGUGUCGUAUAGGGUUGUAUUGUUGUUCAUAUAUUUAUUUGAUUUGAAGCUGUGCAACAAAAAUAAGUUGUUGAAUUCAGACUAUCCUUUGUUUUAUUAUUUGGUCUAGAAGGUGUCUUACUUCACUGUUGUGCCUAACUCCGGAUCAUAAUGAUCAAAAUUAUAACAAGUUGGUUUUCGAGUUGAAAACUAGAAUGGAUACCAUAGUUUGCUGUGUUGGUUCUAUGGAUUUUGAGACAGAAUUUUUUUGUAGGUGUUAAUCUUUCAAAUGUGACGGCAGGCAGGUCGUUCGUUAGAUAGCUAAUUUUUUGCUGCUUGACUAUGAGGUGUCUACAAGGGAAACACAUUACAACACCUGGAGAGAGCAAACUCCAUAAUAUUGGGAUAGUGUAGGCAUACUUAAUUAUAUAAGUUUCAGAUUCUAGAAUUUGCUAUUGUUUUAAUAUGAUAUUGUACACAGAUAUUGUACACAGAUAUUCUCACUUCAAGUUAGGUUUUUCAGCUACUUGUGUGGGGCAUGGUUGAGUUACUAAGAUAUUGAUUACUGUUGGGCUUGUCAGAAUGCA